GUAACGAGGAUGAUCCUACAGACCUGUAAUGAUGUUGCGGUUAUGAUCGCAUCACUAAAGAACAUCUAAGGGACUGAGUUGAU